rnacentral:piRNA from 1 species
GACAAGGACUUAGUAGAAGCUUU